UACGGAGGAUGCAAGCGUUAUCCGGAAUGAUUGGGCGUAAAGCGUUCGCAGGCGGCUAUGUAAGUCUGCUGUUAAAGAGUGAGGCUCAACCUCAUAAGAGCAGUGGAAACUACAUAGCUAGAGUGCGUUCGGGGCAGAGGGAAUUCCUGGUGUAGCGGUGAAAUGCGUAGAUAUCAGGAAGAACACCGGUGGCGAAAGCGCUCUGCUAGGCCGCAACUGACACUGAGAGACGAAAGCUAGGGGAGCGAAUGGG
rnacentral:rRNA from 1 species